rnacentral:rRNA from 1 species
UACGUAGGGGGCAAGCGUUGUCCGGAUUUAUUGGGCGUAAAGAGCGUGUAGGCGGCCUGAAAGGUCAGCUGUGAAAACUCGAGGCUCAACCUCGAGACGUCGGUUGAAACCAUCUGGCUAGAGUCCGGAAGAGGAGUGUGGAAUUCCCGGUGUAGCGGUGAAAUGCGCAGAUAUCGGGAAGAACACCGGUGGCGAAGGCGGGUCUCUGGGCCGUUACUGACGCUGAGGAGCGAAAGCGUGGGGAGCGAACAGG